rnacentral:lncRNA from 1 species
AAAAAUUAUAAGGGAGACAACAUUGAAUUACAUUUUUUUCCUAAAUUUGCUAAACGUAACCAAAACGUAUUUGGAAUUUCCAACCCGGAGUGCCACACAAUCCCUUGGACUUGACCAAUCAUUCUCCACAUAGUAGGAAUUCUCAAACAUCACAUUCAGCGCUUGCUCGGGCGUCGAGCUCCACUUUCUCAAAUAUCGAAAAGUCAGUACACUUC